CCCCAACCAGGGCUUAUGCCAUGGGGAAUGGAAUCACUAUUGGAAAUUGAUUGUUAUUCUCAUUUAUAUUACCCCAUCCAGAUGACUGGUGCUUUCCGAACAUAUGCAAAGAAAAGGUCCCUGCCUGAGGGGCUUUGUGGCGGAGUGUGCAUAGCCCUCACUGGACAAAGGAGUUAAUGCCCUGCAGGGCAAGCCAGGAAAUGGGCCUGUAGGACUUGUGUUACCGGCCAUUUGGGGCAAGGAAGAUUUGGCUUAGGGCUAAGAGGGUGAGUAUUUGAACAGGAAGUGGAGGAGGGUUUCAGUGGUAAAGGCUUUCUUUCCUCUGUUCCCAGCCUAUGGUGGAGUAGAUUUGAGAGACAACUAGAACCAGGAAACCCUGAGGAAUGAACUGUCUCGUGACUGAUUGGAGCCAGCCGGCUUCCUGGCCAGCACCCGGGUGAGAGUAGCAAAGGAGCUCAAGCCAGAAGGAAAUGAGUUCUGGAUGGAUUUAAAGGAAGACUUAUGCAAUGGGGAGUUAUUGUGAAAGCUACUUACAUUGGUGAAAAGCUGCACUGACCACCUUGGAAACAAAAAUCCUUUCUCUAACCACAGUGACUGCUUCCUCUGUGCUGCCCUGCAAUGUUC